CCCUGACUACUUCAAUGUUUAAAUAAAACAUUCAUACAAUGUAAAACAUUGCAAAAUUUUAUAGUUGCACUAGUCAGCAUCCAUUACAAAAUCAGCAUUCAAGCACUUAUUUCCAACUAAAUCAUACAAAACACUCCCAUCUAGACAAAAUUAGCAUCUAAGUCCUAUAUCCUCCGAUCACAUAAAAUUGAAAAAAUACAAUGAAAACAAUUAUGUUAAUUUCAGAGUGAAAUCGAGAAUGUGGCCCAAAAUGGCAUGUACCACUUAUCUAUGAACGUCAUCUAACAUCUCCCGAAAGUAGUCAAGUUUUUUGAAGGGAACACUUCUGUGAAGGUCUCCUUUUAAUUCUAUCUUCAACGAUAAUCACAUACUCAAAUGGGUGAUCCAUUUCUAC
rnacentral:lncRNA from 1 species